rnacentral:tRNA from 1 species
AUUUAUUUAAUAUAUUUAGUAUAUUUGACUUCCAAUCAAAAAGUUUGUUUACCAAAAUAAAUA